GCAGCCACGAUUCCGUGCUGUUGCAUUGAGGUUUCCACCACGAAACCAUGAGAUGGGCCCAUCGUGGUGGCGUUACUCUUCGUACGUCUUGUAUCAACCAUGGUUGUUUGAAAAAAUGUGUGAAAGAUGAAUUUGGAGCACGCUUUGAAUAUAUCUCGCGCUCUCAAUGAAAGCACCAAUUUGUGGGAGCAAAUUUCCGUCCCACCAGA
rnacentral:lncRNA from 1 species